rnacentral:rRNA from 1 species
UACGUAGGGGGCAAGCGUUGUCCGGAUUUAUUGGGCGUAAAGAGCGUGUAGGCGGCCAGAAAGGUCUGCUGUUAAAACUCGAGGCUCAACCUCGAGAGGUCGGUGGAAACCAUCUGGCUAGAGUCCGGAAGAGGAGAGUGGAAUUCCCGGUGUAGCGGUGAAAUGCGCAGAUAUCGGGAAGAACACCCGUGGCGAAGGCAGCUUCCUGGCCCAAUUCUGACGCUGAGGUGCGAAAGCGUGGGUAGCGAACGGGG